rnacentral:rRNA from 1 species
AUGCUUGAUCUCAAUGAGUUGCCUCCAGAUCUCAAUGAGCUUCCUCGUGAUAUGGAUCAGCAGCAACCCAGCAUACAACAAGGAAAUUGGACAGAAAAUGGUCGAUCUGUUUACUACACGCAGGCAAGUCGUGAUGGUAACCCUACGGGCCAUGACAAUGUGGCAGGCCAGUCAUCAGCCCGUGGUGCCCUUGUAGUGGUGUCUUUGCAGUCAGAGAGCCAUACUCUUGAUGACACGGGAACCGAGGCAAAUGUUCCUGGUCCAACCAGGACUGAGCUAGAAGCUGGGGCUGUUGACAGAGUUGUGCAAGUAGAAGAAGGAGAGGAUGAGGCUGGUUCUCAACCUAUGGAACCCUAUGUUGGCAUGAGGUUUGACAGCCUUCAAAUUGCUAAGGAUCACUACAACAGCUACGCACUACAGAUGGGUUUCUCUAUCAAGAUGAACACCUCUAGACGGACAGCCCGCACCAAUGAAUUGAUAAAACAACAGUUUUGCUGCAACAAGUUCAAGAAGCCCAAAGCUGAUGAUGGAGGAGCUGAGGCUCCUCCUGUCCUGGACCCUAUUCCAGAUCCAAAAUCUGUUAACAGUGAUGAGGAGAUGGAAGAAGAACCUCCAAUAUUUGCUGAAGAGGAGGCUGGUACUAGUAAGAAGAAGAAGAAGCGGAAACGCGAGACAAUAAAGCAGACUGAAUGCAAGGCGAAAAUAUUGGUGAAGCUGAUAGAUGUGUGA